GACGCUGGUGGGAGGGCUUUGGCCUGUGGAAGAAGGAAAACAAAGCCGGCCGCGUUGUCCCGGCAGUAGAAAAACCCCAGGUCUAGGGAGCUGUUCAGUGGUGGAUAUGCUAGAAAGCGUUUCACGUCGUAAAAGAAGUACCUGCCAAGGUAGAGAAGUGUCGACGGCAUCUUGGAAGUGAUGAGGUCAUCUGGGCGGCUCUGCUCCCUGUGUCUUCACCCUUUUUGGACCAGUGACUAGUCAAGACACGCUCCUCCCAUGGCGAUGAGAGAGGCGCAAGAGGGCACACCCAUGCACUCACGCACAUUCAAGCCCCUGGUUGUGUCACAUCUGCCAAAGCAAGUCACAUGGCCAAGGCCAAAAUCAAGGGGUGGGAAAAGGAUAUCCCCCUUAAUGGAGGUGAAAGGAUGAAGGAGUAAACAUUUUUGACAAUAACCUACCACAGCAGCUGAGGAUUCAUCCUGAACAUUUUCAAAUACAUAAAACUCCAGGUAUAACUCCAAACCAAACAUGAUGAAAGGAGGCAUUUGGAUAGACCACAGAAAGAUACACCAUCACAUUGCACACCAGCUGCUGUAAACACUUCAGCUUUCUGCAGCAACCAGAGGAAGGAAUUAUGACUCAGCAUGCUUCUUCAGUGGUUGGUUCUGGACAGCCUUUUUAAACUCUAAUCCAAAAUAGAAAUAACGUACCUCCCAUGUGUUCAAGAAGCUUGCACUCCUGGGGAUGACAAUGCCCUUUCCAUCUGCAGGAAAGAAGUUCUCCUCUGAUCGCGACGGCAAAGCAGCAAACAUUUGCUGACCUCCAUAAUUCCGCACUGAACUCUUCCCUCAGACAGGACACCCUAAUUUCUCUGUUACUUUAUUCCUUUGCCAAAUUCUAAUAGUUUAAAAUCAAAAAAAGAUGAAGUUAAAUAAUAGCUGUUGUGUGUUUUUGAGAAAGUUUGAGUUUGGUUACUGUGGGUUUUCUAAGAUAUUGCUUUCCUUAGUUUAUACAAAAAAGCAUUUAUUGAUCUAGGUUUUAGACCAAGUGCUGAUGACUCAGACAUGAAUAACAGUUCCUCUGGAGUGUUUCAAGUAAAACAAAUAUGUAAAAACUAAGCUAUAAUACAAUUUAAUAUGUCUUUUGACAGAGGUGCACAAGCUGUGGGAACAUGGGAGAAAACAUAAUUGAUUCUGUGGUUCCAGGGAAGCCUUCAGAGAGCAGAAGGCAUUUGGGCAAAUCUCGAAGGAUGGGCACGGGCUCCGUAAGUGGAGUGAGAGCACUUAAGGCAGAGAACAGGAAGAAUAAAAGCACCAGUACAUCAAAGUGCAGUGUUGGCUGUGAUUUCCUUUCAUUCCAG
rnacentral:lncRNA from 1 species